rnacentral:rRNA from 1 species
UGAGGAAUAUUGGGCAAUGGACGAAAGUCUGACCCAGCAACGCCGCGUGGAGGAAGAAUGCCUUCGGGUUGUAAACUCCUUUUUAGGGGGAAAAGGAAGGAUGGUACCCCUAGAAUAAGUCACGGCUAACUACGUGCCAGCAGCCGCGGUAAUACGUAGGUGACAAGCGUUAUCCGGAAUUACUGGGCGUAAAGCGCACGCAAGCGGUUUAUCAAGUUCGACGUGAAAUCUUCUGGCUUAACCAGGAGCGGUCGUUGAAAACUGAUAGGCUUGAGGCGAUGAGAGGGGUGCAGAAUUCCAGGUGUAGUGGUGGAAUGCGUAGAUAUCUGGAGGAAUACCAGUGGCGAAAGCGGCACCCUGGCAUCGAGCUGACGCUCAUGUGCGAAAGCGUGGGGAGCGAACGGG